ensembl:lncRNA
GGAAGCUGAUAAAAAAGGGACAGAACAGACAGCCGGAGGGGCUGCGUCUCAAACAAUUUCAGCCCACUUUGCCAGACUGCCUCUGUCCGUGCCCCUGGAUGGAAAGAGUGGGUAAGCUGCUCCAGACAAGGAAUAAACAGGAGUGUUAUGUAGAAGAGUGUACUUGCGCUACAGAUGAAGUAAACCUGUGACAGCUCCACGUCCAAGCAGAAGCAUUCAGGAUAAUUCUGAUUCACUGAAUUCAGCACACCAAGUUUGCGGCAUCUCAGCUUUGGUGGACUUCUGCUGAACUCAAGGUAGAACUCUGCUGAAGCCUUUCCACAGCUAUUGCAGACAGCUGAGAGCAAAAGACCUCUGAGUUUUGUGGUUGUGCAUCAGAGCCACCAGCUGAGAUGAUUAAAGACAGUGUACAUGUUUACACAGAGCAGAGAGGCGCUGGAACUGCAGGCAGCACCACGGCCUCAGCGCAGCACGGUGCCAAUAAGCACACUAGCUAGUGUGCACACUUCCAAAGAGCCACCCACAUUAGUGCAGCUGGACUGACAGCAGUGCUCUGUGAAGAUGAAGCAUAGAUGUAUCAGCCUGGUGGGCUGCAAGGUAAGCACGACCUAACGAUUGCGCAGUUGCAAGGUGAGCUGGAUUAAUCAGGUGGCUCAACAGAGAACAAAACCACCAAAACAGUCGGAUGGGCUAUUUUGAGUCAAAGCACUAGCAGAAAGUACCUGGCAAAGGUAAUUAUGUGGCAACUUCUUCUAAGAGAGGGAAAAGAAGCCAACUUUCUGACAUCCAAAAGUAUUCCUCUGAGGUGUUGUUCAACCUAGACCAAAACUUUCCAUUGUCCUGAUGCUUUCCAGACCAGCAUAAGACACUGAGCUGAGCUUGGAGAGCUGGUGGCUCCUGGCGGCUGUAGGAGCUGCAUCUCCCCUCCGUUCUCAUGGAAGCGCAGGGAUCCAGGAAGCUCCUCUGGAUGAUGGAAUUCAGCACUGCUCUUCUCUGUGAUGCCACUCAUUACCUGUGCAAGACCUUUUCAACAUAGAAGCAGAAGACAAACACUUGCAAAGGGAAAACAACUCCCUGUAACUACAUACUGCAUCUCUCACCACGCUUUUUAAUCUCUAACACACUAGGAGCAUGUGCCAGAUAGCAUGUGUACCUUUCAGAGAUAACCUGGAGUUACACAGCCACCAGCUCAAGCAACAUGAACUUCAGCCUCACACGGCCUGUUCCAAUUUGCCCACGCUAAGCCUUCAUGUUCCCACAGCAAAUGCCAGUGCCUUGAGUUUGCUGGAUACAGAUACUCCAAGGGACUGCUUAGGUAUGCAGCUACAUCCAUGUUGGCUUUGUGUAGCUGAUGCAUCUGUUGUUGUUGUUAUUGUUGUUUUUAUUUGUUUGCUUUUGUGAAAUAAUGGAGAUUCCAGUUGUAAUUUUGGUGGG